GUGCUUGCUUUGCUAGAAUAUAUACUGAAAUUGGAAUGAUACACAGAAAAUUAGUAUGGCCCCUGAGCAAGGAUGACAAGCAAAUCUGUGAAGUGUUUCAUAUUAAA
ensembl:snRNA U6 U6 spliceosomal RNA